UGGGGAAUCUUGGACAAUGGGCGCAAGCCUGACCCAGCAACGCCGCGUGAAGGAUGAAGUAUUUCGGUAUGUAAACUUCGUAAGAAUAGGAAGAAUAAAUGACGGUACUAUUUGUAAGGUCCGGCUAACUACGUGCCAGCAGCCGCGGUAAUACGUAGGGACCAAGCGUUGUUCGGAUUUACUGGGCGUAAAGGGCGCGUAGGCGGUGUGUCAAGUCAGUUGUGAAAUCUCCGAGCUUAACUCGGAACGGUCAACUGAUACUGUCAAACUAGAGUACAGAAGGGGCAAUCGGAAUUCUUGGUGUAGCGGUGAAAUGCGUAGAUAUCAAGAGGAACACCUGAGGCGAAGGCGGGUUGCUGGGCUGAUACUGACGCUGAGACACGAAAGCGUGGGGAGCAAAA
rnacentral:rRNA from 1 species